rnacentral:rRNA from 1 species
UGGGGAAUAUUGGACAAUGGGGGAAACCCUGAUCCAGCGACGCCGCGUGUGUGAAGAAGGCCUGCGGGUUGUAAAGCACUUUUAGUGGGGACAAAAAGCCCACGGAUUAAUACUUCGUGGUCUUGAUUUAACCCAAAG